AUACAUAGACCGAAAUGUCCGGUACAAAGCCAUCAGAAAAUCGGGCACCAUGUCUUCUUCUUCAUUUUGAAGAAAAUACCCCUCGUGGGUGACGAAUUACAUAAAUAUUUUACGAGCGCUGACUUACCCCUCUCGACGUUUUGACAGUUUGUCUGAUUUGUUUUUCUCCCUCACCUUGCGUCGUCGUUUCAGUUUUGAAUCACAUAUUUCACAUAUUUUUGCCAUAAAAUUUAGUAUCCUUAUUCGUAUUACAUCACAAAGAUCCGAGAUAUCCGGGACGAACAGAACGACAUAAACUAGACAAUAGUUUGCAUCAUAAUGCUGGCAGUGUGGCCGCUCGCCUUGUUUGAAACUAGAACCAUUAGAAGGUGUUCGGAAUUAGCAGUUUGUACUGAAAAAUACCCAGACAAAGUUGGACGAGAUUCGCCGUUAAUCUCGUCGUUUGAUUUGGGUAUCGUGCAGUCCUUAGGAUGACAUCAGCUCGAGCCAAAAUCACUCUGGAAACACGGGAAACACAAAUCCACUAGUAUCAAAGAGGAAAAACCAUAUUCAACCCGAUUCCAGGAAAGCGGCUGGUAGCUCAUUUACCAUCGACCCAUCUCCGCAGCCAUCAAACCACAUAUUUUCCUGUAUGGAAAAGUGUUUCCUUGUACUGAAUACCUAUAGGAUUUGUUUGCACUAGCCGAAGCACUAUUACGUCGAUUACCUACCUGACAGCGUUUAGCAUUGAUCAAGAUGGAUGAAACCACGACACCAAGGAAGAAAACUUCACCACGAUUUCUACUUCGAAUUACAGCCUACUUUAAUCAAAAGCUUCACUUCAAACGACGUCAGGAUUAAGAUUUCAGUGAAGUCGGAAACCAUGGACAAGCUAUAUUUACAUAGUUUUAAAUAUGCCGAUCACAUUUUCAUUCACGACUGGCAAAAAAGACCCCCUCUGUUAACACCUGAAGGGAAUCAAGUCGGUGGAGCCGCACAAGUUAGUUGACGGAGUUUACGGAAUAUUGCACCACCAGAAAUAACAGUUCAAGGGAGUCUUCGUACUACUAUCAUUACAGCCGGCACAGCUCCCCGGAUGUCGCACAACUUAGUUCAUCUUUUGCAUUUGCACCAGUCCCAGUUUUGGUUGGGAUACGACAUCUGGGUAUACCAAUAUCUAAUCAAUUACAGUCGGGAUUCGCUGGUUGGGAUCUUAAUACUUGGGUCACUUUUUAGUUGGCCCUCCGCUGGUUGGGCCAUGGCCCAACUAAAAAGCAACUGUACGUCAAAAUUCAAUGUAAACACGGAAAACGGGAUUGGGCGUCACUGGACAUCAUUUGUGAUGUUCAAGUCGAAAUACACGUAUUCAAAUGGCUGUCAGUUGACCCAACUAAAAAACCGAAUUCGUUAGUUGGUCCGAGGUCGUGGCCCAACCAGCGAAUCGCGACUGUAUUCGAAUCAACCGGAAAUCGAUGUCCUACGCCUCGGGACCUCAACGAAUGCUGUCAAACUUGGACCGAGAUACUCGAUGAAGCAAAAGCGCUCCCAAUACACGCAUAGACUACCAAAAAUGAACUGAGAUCCGGUGAGGAAAAUAGCGGAUCAUUGGAACCACAGCUAUGCUGGAUGUCAAAAAGUUUAGUUGCCGCCAGAGCAGAUACAGUAACAUUUACAGCAACAACAUAGCGGCCAAAGCAAUGAGCUGAAAUACUAGGACCGAGGGAAAAGUAUCCGGGUUUGAACCUGCCUACAGCAGUUGAGCAUUUUGCAGUUGUAGACGGUCAGAAAAGCAAAUCGGAAACGUCAAUGAAAAAGAAAGCCAAUACAUGCCCUUAUCGAAUUCUCAAAGGAAAAGGGUCAGCAGCUGUCUUCUUCACCGAAAUACAGCAACGCGUUGCAAAGAAAUAUUACUACUUUUGAAAAAGAAGGUCUGUAGAAAAUAUCAACUAUCAAGCAAGCUGCUUUCCAGGGUAUCCCCACCUUUCAAGAGUUCGGCGAAACACAGAAGCGGGUAACCGACGAAGCCAUAAAAAAGGAUAACUGCUAUCGAAGCAGAAGUUUGCACUAUAAUAUUUGGAGAAGACAAACACGUGGAAUACGCAUGUAGAAAAUGUGGAACCGUCGACUUGCACAACGAAACCGUUAGAGUGCCAACUUGUUGACGAGGGAAAGAAGCAAAAGACUAACCGGGAAUCAACUAGUAGAAACAAGAGAAUGAUCAGGAUUUCAGUGGAUGCAUAAAAGGGCUGGCAAGAGCAACCUGAAUGGAAAAUAAAGCCGCGUCUGGUGCAACUGCAUAAAGCUGUGGAUCGUGAAUACUCUCCUCUCCAUCAAAUGCUCAAAAACAAUGUACGUUAGCUGGUUUCCGACGGCAUGUAUGAGUUAAUCCUAUUGCUGUCGAACCAAAGUGACCUCGCGACAAUCAGCACAGUUGCAAAGAACUGUGCAUCAUUGAUACAUGUCUUUCCAUUAAAUGCGUGAACAAAAACACUCGUCAGCAACAUGAAUUCACUGACAUAACCAUGAAUGUACGAAAGCUAUCAUAAGACGCGGAACAAACCACAUGUAGACGCCCAACAGUAAAUUGAACAGUAGACUGCAGGAACGGGUCUACUACAAAAAGCCAAAUAUGCUUGUUAGGUCUGUAAACUGGAUACACAACCAUAGAAUAUUGCUUCAUAAAAUUGCGAGAUUCAAUCACCUGUAACUGUUUUUUUUUUCACCGGACCCACAACCUAAGUACAUAUUUGUUAUUUCGCAACCGUUGUAUAAUAAUAUAAUUUUAUUAUUAAUUCAAAGAAUGGAAAACGAGUGAUACAAAAAUACUGUUUUGAACAUCAACAAUUUUUAAUAAAAUAUAAGUUUUA